GCUGCUUUUCGUGCUUUUGCCGCGGUUAUACUAGCAUGAGUAGUUUGUUCCGAAAUACUAGCGUUGGGAUUGCUGUUCGCCAUCAUGUAAUCGGUAAAUAUUAUUGCUUUACGGUCUGGAUGAUUUAGGGAAAAGUAUUGUAGAAGACGAACAAGUUUUUUUCGUUGAUUCUGUGAGAAAAAGACGCUUACUCGUAGGCCUACCGCCCGGUACCACAGAGUACAGACCAUCAUUCAUGCAAUCGAUGCAUGGCGUGUGUGUCAUUGACACUGUCGAGUCUGUGCAGACUUAAGACUGCAGUCUAGGCGUUCAGGCUACAGGCUUCAUCAUGUCUGUGCCCUCCGUGCCACCCCUGGGGUUUUUAAUGCCACUCGUGCCCACACUCAAGUGUUUUGAAGAAUGUAAAAUCCAGUGUGUGAUAAACAUGUGUAAAGAAACCUUUCGUAAGAAGCCAGAAGAGCUUUACAACAAUCUUGGACUGGGAGAUGAAGGCCAUCAUAAACUUCUUGUAGGAUGAGUUGCCGCAGACCGAGAUGAAAACCAUGAUGAAUGUCCGUGAGCCAGAGGCUAUGAUUUGUUUAAUACAACAAUGCGAGGGACUUAACAAAAUUGAGGCGGAAAUAUUCUUGAGGCAGUGUCGGUGCAUGGAAGAAACGGAAACAUUGGAUUAAGGAUUUAUUUCAUAGUGAAUUACACAGUCACAAAUGGAUUACACACGUUCUGGAUUAGACUAGUUUCUGCUGCAACUGACAUUUUUGCAGGUGCCCACUCGUAGGCGAUUCCUUGAUGUCUUCCUUGGAUUUUACAUGAUAUUAUGUCAUUUUCGCCAACAUCGGGUUUUGGCGCCAAGACGUUUGUUCCUAGAACAGUUGAUUUAAAUGCCGAAUGUGGUCAGUUUUAAUUUAUAUCGCAGGUGUCUACCCAAACAAUUUUAGAUGCUUUCUGCUGAAUCUUCUAUUACUACUGUUUUUACUGGGGUUUCAUCGAUGUUUUUUGGUGGAGUGUGACUCUAAAGUAAUAGGCAGCUUGUUAUGCCCCCGCCAAUGCGUAAAGCAUUGCGGAGGCAUUAUGUUUUACCAAUGUCCGUCAGCCGGUAGGCGUCAGGCGUCUGUAAACUUUUCGUUUCCUCUCAUUUUAACAAGAACGCUUUGAGUAAUAACCAUGUAACUUUUUAUGUGGGUAGAAAAAGAUAACGUGUACAGCGGGCAUUACAGACCAAUAACUCUUUCACGAUGUCAACUAAACCCAGUCAGCUAUGACACCAGCUGCCCGGGGUUGUCUGAAAAACACUUCACUUUCCUAAUACACCAACUCAAUGUGCUCACCGGGGCAUAUGCUACGCCCUGCGUUGCUCUUGUUAUUGCAGUAUUUUUGUUCUUCCUCUGGUUUACCUAUAAACUAUUUUUCCAAUCUCCAAUCAUGUUUGAUGCUUUAGCCAUUUUGUUUCAGCUCUUAGAUAGUAGAAAAACGUGUUAUUCAUUAUUUCUGGUAGCACAAGUCCUGGCACGAAAUACCUUUCCCGCCAUAAUAUCAGUACCAAGACGUCACAGGGUAGGUCCUAACUCCAGGAAACGCCUUACUCGU